rnacentral:lncRNA from 1 species
GACUUCGCCGACUACUUCACUAUCAUUUUCCACUGAGCAGGUUUUCAUUCAUUCACAAUUGGUACUCAGCCCAAGUCCCCAGCAUCCCCCGAGACCCUCCCCAUGCUUUCCGAGCUGUAGUUUAGCAUGCACUAGAAGACAAGCACUGGUGCUUUCUCGGUAGACCUACAGGCUGCCGGUUGGAGCCGUCCGGGAGCGAAAAGAAGAAUUAGACUGUGUGUUUAUGUGGCUGGGCUCCAGUAAAUAUUUUGAUGCAUCUGCUGCCAGCUCUGGUCUGAGGGAAUCUACCUGGCAUUUAGAUUUGGAUGGGGAGCUGUUUUGAAUGAUAACGGUGCAGCUGGCUGUGAGUCAGUGCAUGUGUGUUGGCUGGGAAAAAAAAAAAUCUCCUAGCUCAACGUUUGCUGAAUGCUGAGCUGCAGUGCUCGCUGCCUUUUUUUUUUGUGAGUAGACGAGCCAAACAGAUUUUUUUCGGGGGCGACAAGGAAACUCAAAAGUCACCCUCAACUACCUUUAAACAUGGGGGCUGUGAUGGGCACCUUCUCCUCACUGCAGACCAAACAAAGACGACCCUCCAAAGCAGGGCUUCUGUUUGACCUCUUCCAAAGCAAGACACUGAGGUGGGAAGGAGAGAAAGAAUGGAAUCAUUCCACUGGGGUCACUGAAGCAUUAAGAAGAAUAGACUAGAAGGAGAAGGUAUUAACCAAAUGUCAUGUAUAAGAAUACUUUAGGACUCAGCCCCCUCCUCUCAAGAUCACACUUGGAGAGUUUCCAGUACACUACCAGUCUUGGCUACGGGAAGGCGAAUCAACCAUUUAAUUUCUAGCUUGGGCAGUGGCUAGCGAGUGGAAGGCAAUCUGCCACAGGUCAAAAUUCACCUGCGCUGGGCAGCAAAGACAUGGGAGAGAGUUGAGGGCAGAGACUCAAGUUUGCUGUGUGGAAGAAGACAGUGGUAAACCACUUCCAUAAUUUUAACAAGAGAACUCUAUGGAUACACCACCACAAUAAUGGCAGAUGGAGAGUGGGGCAUUCUGGGAGAGAUGUGUCCAUGGUGUUGCUAUGGGUCUGAGACAACUUGAUAGCAUAAGACAAGACAAGGAUUCAGCCCAUUCUGACUCUGUGGAUUUGGGGGCCACUCCACAACCCAGAAGGAGAAAUGGGAGGCUGGACAUCUGAAUUCUGGCCCCUGAACCUCAGCUCUGUAACAAAACUUUUUUAACAUCCUAGUCUCACAACAGAGUAACAGGAGAAGUGAUAUUUACUAAGGAGCAGCUCCUUAAAUAGAAAGGACAGAAAGAAUCACUGCAGCAUAUGUAAAUGAUUUGUAUUGCAAACAAUAUUUAGUUUAUAUGUGAGGAGAGUUUAUGGAAUAUGAAGUACUGUUUUCUUACUGCACCAUCCCCAGGGGGAAAAAUACCCACCAACAAUUUGCAAGGGAACAUUUAUGUUUAAUCUCAUUUACAUAAAUGUCCUGGGCAAUUUGUCCCAAUUUGCCUCAUUACAAAUGAUGUAAACAUUGGUCGUAAUCACAAACACAAAGGAACCAUUUAAAUGCCUCCUGAUUAAAAAAGAGUUUUUAUCCACAGUGACUUGAGAACAUCUCUGAGUUUCUGAGUGGGCCCCAAAGUACAGCUCAUUAAGUUAUAAUGGAAACUCUGACAGCAGCAUUAAAUUCUGAAGCAAUUCCCCAGACGUGAGGGCAGUUUAACCAAGCCCUUGACCUACAUAACACACAUCAAGACAUCCA